GAAACGCGAUAGUUAAUGUGAAUUGCAGAAUUCAGUGAAUCAUCGAAUCUUUGAACGCACAUUGCGCCCGCCAGUAUUCUGGCGGGCAUGCCUGUUCGAGCGUCAUUACAACCCUCAGGCCCCCGGGCCUGGCGUUGGGGAUCGGCGGAAGCCCCCUGCGGGCACAACGCCGUCCCCCAAAUACAGUGGCGGUCCCGCCGCAGCUUCCAUUGCGUAGUAGCUAACACCUCGCAACUGGAGAGCGGCGCGGCCACGCCGUAAAACACCCAACUUCUGAAUGUUGACCUCGAAUCAGGUAGGAAUACCCGCUGAACUUAAGC
rnacentral:misc_RNA from 1 species